rnacentral:rRNA from 1 species
AGUGAACGCUGGCGGUAGGCCUAACACAUGCAAGUCGAACGGCAGCACAGUAAUAGCUUGCUCUUACGGGUGGCGAGUGGCGGACGGGUGAGGAAUACAUCGGAAUCUACUUUUUCGUGGGGGAUAACGUAGGGAAACUUACGCUAAUACCGCCUACGACCUACGGUUGAAAGCACGGGAUCUUCGGACCUUGCGCGAUUGAAUGAGCCGAUUUCGGAUUAGCUAGUUGGUGGGGUAAAGGCACACCAAGGCGACGAUCCGUAGCUGGUCUGAGAGGAUGGUCAGCCACACUGGAGCUGGGACACGGUCCAGACUACUACGGGAGGCAGCAGUGGGGAAUAUUGGACAAUGGGCGGAAGCCUGAUCCAGCCAUACCGCGUGGGUGAAGAAGGCCUUCGGGUUGUAAAGCCCUUUUGUUGGGAAAGAAAAGCAGCAGGUUAAUACCCCGCUGUUCUGACGGUACCCAAAGAAUAAGCACCGGCUAACUUCGUG